AGUUUCAUCCCCUAUCUUUGUCUCUGUGCUUUCCUUUAUUCCCAAGGUAAUUCUCACUUCACAGAUAUUUCCCAUCUUUCCCAUUAUAGCUUUGACUACAUCUAGAAUUUAUACUCAGUGGAUGGUCAGAAUGUUCCUUUAUGUCUCUUUGUGUCUCCAUCUGUCUGCCUCGGGAGCAGGGUGAACAUGGUGUUAAGGAAGUUUUGAACAUUUUAACAAAUGAGUUCCACACUUCCAUGGCCCUUACAGGCUGCCGGUCGGUCGCUGAGAUCAAUCGAAACUUGGUCCAGUUUUCCAGGCUGUAAGAAAAAACGGCCAAUAACCAGACUGCUGAGGUUGCCCACAGAAGGAUCACAAACUCACAGCACAGUGUGUGAUGCUGUCCUUCCUGGACCCCAUCCUAUCCGGAGGCUCAUGACCUGUAUUUCCCACAUUUCCGAUACCUCCACCCCUGUGCUUCAGGCCCUCCAAACCCCUGUGUUUCCCAAAUGUUCCAUGCCCUUCUUUGUAUCACUGACUAUUAUAUGUUGCUCUCUUGCCUAAAUCUUCCUCUGAAGUCAAAGACCUCAAAAGGACAGA
rnacentral:sRNA from 1 species